rnacentral:lncRNA from 1 species
GAACCCAGAAUCUCUGGUUCAGGGUUCAAGAAUUCGAGCUUAGAAUAGCUGUUAUGAUUGGCUUUAUCUAUUAUCUAAUUUUCCUACAUGUUUGAGCCUAAUGUGCUAAAUGCUUUAUCGCUUUGAUAUUUUGUGAACUGUAUAUAAACUGCUACGAAACCCUUCCUCUCUCUGAGUCUUCUAAAUCAUGGAGAAGGGUGCACUUCGUGUGACUUCUCUUCUGUUUAGAGUCUUAUCCCAUUUUAGAACGAGGUUCGGAUAAGUUGCUAAGCCGGUGAAGCUUCUGUAUUCCCGGUACGCUGCCCUCCCUCGGCUCGAGUUGUCCGCUCGGAUAAGCCAGGUCUAGAACAAUAAACCCAGGCUUUAAACCUAGUAUAACAAAGCCUCAUGUCGGAUCCUUAGUAGGAACGUUUGUUUGCAUCACGUGCAUUUGACUUAGGAGACUCAACAUAGGGGUUGGGUCUGUCUAGGACAGGUGUACACGAAAUGAAAAGACCAUCCUGAUACAUUCUACUUGCGCAUUUAUUUGCUUCGAAUUUGCGUGUUGACCGGCUUAUGAAUAAUAGGAGAAAAGUUGGGAAAAAGAAAAUCAAUGUGAGGGCUCGGAGAGAUAAUUACUUGUUUUGAAAAAUCAGUAUCCAAAAAAUAUGCUGAAACUCUGCCAAAAUUUUGACAAAAAUUUUCUGUUUGAAAAAUAGUUGGUUUAUUUUCGUCUAAUCUGCCCGAACUACGCCAGUUUGAUUCUCACCGGAUGUGGGAUACGUAGGCAACCCACAUCGGGUCCAACUUCCCUUUUUUGCAAAAAAUAGCCCAAAAACAAUAAAAAUUUAUUUUUUGUCACAAAUAAACAGGGCAAUGCCAUUCUUGCUUAAAAUAAGCCGAAUGUCCCCAAAAGGGCGCCGGAAGGCAGUUUUUUUUGCAAGAAUAGCCCCUUUUGUCAUUUUUAAACGGUUAGCGGGCACGACUUCAAAAUCUUCUUCCCCGAAGUGCUGAAAGGUUGUAUCUGCAAAACCUGGUUUUAUUGUGAAAUAAAAUUUUGAAAAAUGGUGUCACUCUUUUGGGUCAAAAUUAGUUAUUAAAUCACCUUAACAAAUGUGCAGGAUGAGCAUAGACGAAAUUGAACCCUUCACAGUCCUUAAUGAGAUCCCCUUAAAGCUCCACAUGUGGUGGAAUGAUCUAGGAAAAGGCAAUAAAGAAACAGUGGUAAAAGUUCUGGGAGGCCUCGUCGGACUAUUAAACGUCAAGCCAAGGUUGGACAUAAUUGAAGCCUUAAUACCUUUUUGGGACCCGACUCGCAAUGUGUUCCGCUUCUCUGACUUUGAGCUUACACCUACAUUGGAGGAAAUUGCAGGUUAUGCGGGCCUUAACGGAAACCUUAGAAGUCGAUAUCCGUUGGCACGAAGACCGGUAUCCCCCACAGAUUUCUAGAUUUGUUGAGUAUUAGUCGGGAUAUUCAAGACGGAAAUUUAUCUGAGGGGUAUUGCACGCUCCAGUUCUUAUAUUAUAGAUAUGGUAACCCCCGAAGUUUUGAAGAGCGGAACACUGGUCUGACCCAUGAUGGAAAUAAAGACAAGUGGGAGGCGUGGCGGGGUCUGGCUUUUAUUGUAGCAUUCUUGGGUAUUGUAGUCUGUCCGCGAAAAGAUCGUAAUAUAGAGGUGGGUCUCGUAGGAAUGGUCGAUGUUGCAAUCAAGAAAUCCAACAGCACUGUGGUUCCCCUAAUCUUAUCCGAAAUAUACCGAGCCUUGACUAUCUGUCGAGAAGGGGAAAAGUUCUUCCAAGGAUGCAAUCUGCUACUACAAUUAUGGAUGUAGGAACAUCUCUGCCACUGGGUUGGAUAUAUGAAUUAUGGUAUGACCGGUUUAAGUUGCGUUGAAGAAUUUGAAAGCCGAGUAGUGGGUAUUGAAUUCCCCGAAGGUACUAAAGCUUGGCUUACACAUUUAAGCUCAUUGACUGAUGAUAAAAUUGAGUGGGCAUUCGGAUGGCUUCCUAUCACUGAAGCAGUGUACAUGUCAGCUGAAGUGUGUUAUCUCCUCCUGAUGGGCAUCCGGAGCAUCCAGCCGUAUGCUCCUCACAGGGUUUUGCGCCAAUUAGGAAGAUUUCAAACCGUCCCUCAUGACGAAGAUUUGAGUAGACAUGUCGUUGAAUUGUACCCGAAAGCCACAUUUCCAGAAGGGAGAAUUCUCCAGGUGUGGAAUGAAUGUAGGUUUCUUGAACCUAAGACCAUGGUGCGAGAUUUAGCUAGAGGUGAAGUAGACCCUAAGUACAUUGUUUGGUUCGAUAAAAGAUUUCAGAUUCUUGAGAGACCUGCUAAGAGGGCUCACGUUCAGCAGUUUACUAGCGACUCGCAAGAGCAGUGGGGCUGGUUGGCAAAAGAAGAAAGCUACAGGGCCAAAAUAAGCAAGCUAGAAAGGCAAGUCAUGAACCUUCAGUUUGAAAAUAGUUUGCAAGCUGCCGCAGACGAGGGAGAAAAGAAAAAACUAACUCAAGAGAAUAAAGCCCUCAAAGCUCAAAUCUGGAAGAUGAAAAUAGCUGCUAGAAACCCGGAGAGAAGCCGAGCGGACGAGAGACUUAUAAGCAGUCUGAAAAAGAAAGCCCUUGAGUGUCAAGAUGACCUAGAAAAGGCUGAGGCCAGUCUAGCAAAUGCCCGGGCUCAAUUAGCGGAGAAUGCAAAAGGUCGAACCUAGUUUGUGCAACAAAUAAAAAGAUGAUAUGAAGGAACAAUCACCAGCCUAAAAAGAAAGAUGACUACUCUUGAGAAUGAGGCAACCAAGUAGACUAAAGAUUUCAAAGUUGAUAGGGAACACUGUUAUGAUUUGAUGGCUCAGAUGGAGGAAGGAAAACAACAGUUGCAAGAUCAACACCUUCAUAACUCUCAAGUGUUAGAAGCCCGGAAUCAGCAGAUAGGGCGAUUGCUCCAAGAAAAGGGCAGAAUUAGAGAAAGGAUCAGAACCAUCGCCGAUUACAUUACCAUGAAGUGCCAAGCGUGUGAGGAUAUGACUCGUACCACUUUUUUCGCUGCAGUAAUGACUUUCGCCCGCCUAGUCAUGAGUGAUUUGGACCAAUUGCAAGGGGAUCUCGCAUUUAGGCCCGCGGCGAGACCGAAUGACGUCCCGCGGGCACCAGGAGCAUUAAUGUAUUUUUGAUUUUACUAGAGUCUGUAUUUUUCUUUUCUGUUAAAGUCUGUUAGUUUAUUUUCGAUUCUGUAUUUUUCUUUUUGUCAGAGUCUGUUAAGUCAGUUCAUGAGUCUGUAUUGUCAUCGUGUUAUUGGAGUCUGUUGUUUUCCUUUUUGAGCCUUUUAGCUUUGAAUCAUUGUAAUCCAAAGUAUUUCCUUUUUAUGAAAAAUUGAAAAUCCCAAAAUAUUUUGUUAUUUAUUUUUACAUUUAUUGCCUCUUGAACUACGUAAAUGAUCUGAUUCACGCAGCGUCGUGAUACGUAGGCAAUCCUCAUCGGAUCCGGUCAUGAUUUUGUUAAUAAAUCCAAUAAGAGAGGGCGUGAAAAGAAGAGCCGAAAGAAAAACCCAAAAGAAAGAAAAGAGAGCUGAAGAAAAAUCCAAGGAAAAAAAGAGAAAAGAAAGCGAGGAAGGAGAUAAAAGUGGAAGGGAAUGGAAAUAGAAAGAAGAAAAAUGGAAAGAAUAAGUAAAUCCGGGAUGAAGCAUGCAACCACUGCAAAAUAUGUAGAAACACAUUUUAACUGUAUAGGUGCAUCACACCCCAACGUGCGAUUACUUAUCUGUUAUUUGUUUCAAACUAACCAUUUGAUGAUGCAUUCCAGUCCAGGGUUUUAUAGAACGGUGGUUGGUUUUUGUGGUAAUCUGGCUUCACACCCAUACUUUACGAGAUCAAAAGGGAGCGUUGAAAUGUCUUCAGAAAUGACUCUGCCAACAAUUCCCGUCAUGGAUGAUAGUCCUAUUUCAGGCAUCCCGACCUCAGAAUCGGCAGUUGCCGAAGAAAAUAGAAUCCUGCGUCUUCGGGUUAUGGAAAUGUGGGACACUUGGGCAAAUGGAAGAGAGCCACCAAGCGCCAUCCCGGGAUUCCCCGAACCUUUUCCUAGAGCAAGUGGUGCCUUCACUGUUCUGAUCAGUCACCCAAACACACCACUAGGACACCCAACUAUCUCAGCUCAUUUUGUGGGAACACCUUCUGAGGUUCGCCCCCAUAUGUUAAUGUCCGGUGCAGCUUCAAAUAUCUUCACUGCUCCCCCAUGCUCGGCCACAACACAGCCUACACUGCUUAGACCCAGUUUUGACCCCUCAACUUUCACCUUUCAAACACCCGCCUUCCAAAUGGAACCUCCUUAGUUUCCCACUUAUACUUAUCCUCAGCCACCCCAAUUUGAGUUCACUACGGGGCAAGAAAAGACCACCAAAACUCCUGAGCAAGAAGAGAUUAUGAGGAAGAUGAGGAGUAUGGAACAGAGUCUCAAAAGCAUACAAGGUUUGAGUGGACAGAAAAGUGUAUCAUAUGCCGACUUAUGCAUGUUUCCCCACGUGCACCUACCAUUGGGAUUCAAAACCCCAAAAUUUGAGAAGUAUGAUGGACACGGUGAUCCUAUUGCUCAUCUCAAGAGAUACUGCAACCAGCUGCGAGGGGCCGGUGGAAAGGAAGAACUCCUCAUGGCCUAUUUUGGAGAAAGUCUAGUGGGCAUCGCAUCUGAGUGGUACAUGGACCAAGAUAUAUCCCGCUGGCACAUCUGGGAUGAUCUUGCUAGAGAUUUCGUCAGGCAGUUCCAGUACAACAUUGAUAUUGCUCCAGAUAGGAACUCAUUGACAAACUCGAAGAAGAAAUCCUCGGAAAGCUUCCGAGAGUACGCAGUUAAAUGGAGUGAGCAGGCCUCCAGGGUAAAACCUCCGAUGGAUGAGGUUGAAAUGGUCACAGUUUUCCUCCAAGCUCAAGAAGCUGAUUACUUCCAAAAUAUGAUGUCCGCAAUGGGUAAACCAUUCGUUGAAGCCAUCAAGAUUGGCGAAAUGUUGAAAAUGGGCUGAAAACGGGUCGAAUUCUAAGCCAAUCUGCUAUCAGAGCCACCUCCCAAGCCAUUCAGGGUGGGUCUGGAGGAGUAGCGAAGGGCAAGAAAAAGGAAGAAACAUCCAUGGUAGCGUCGGGUGCAAAAAAACACCGUACUCCCAGAUCCCUUUUCCUAGAAAGAACCCCACAGCACUAUUACCCCCACCAAGGUGUGGCUUAUGCUCCUCAGCCAUACCCGAUCAUGAAUGCUCAACCUUAUGUCCAGCCACAACAACAAGCCGACCGGAACCAAGCUCUAUUUCCCAGAAACCAGCCUCCUUACCAAGCCCACUACAAUCCCCGACCUCCACAAAACAACUUCUGUGCCCGGGAGCCGCCAAGGGAAUCAAACUUCACUCCAAUUGGCGAAUCUUAUUCUAGCCUAUUCCAAAAAUUAGUCCAAAUGGGUUUGUUGCAACCCGUACCCCCAAAUAGGCAAAACCCAGAAUCACCUUCUUACCAACGUGGCACCCGAUGCGCUUAUCACUCAGGGGCUGAGGGGCAUGAUACGGAAAAUUGUUGGACUUUGAAAAGAGCUGUGGAAGAUUUGAUAGAAUAGAGGAAGAUAGUGCUUAGGGAUGAAGAUAUUCCCAAUGUGACUAACAACCCACUGUCGGCCCACAACAACGGGCCAGUAAUCGGAAUGAUUUGUGAGGAUAAGGAGUUUGACCCAGCAUUGAAGGCCAUCAUUGCCAUCGCUGAUGCAGAAAAGAAACCAAAAGUUGUCUCGAAUCAAGACAAAGGGGAGGAAAAGAACGAAACCACUCCUCCAAAGUUAGAGAAGAAAGUUGAAGUCGAAACUGGGGCAACGCCUCCCAAGGAUGCUGUUCUCUAUAUCCUGCAAGGCCGCAAAGAAAAGCCGAUGACUUUGAGUCCCCCUAGGAGAUUCUAGUUGAACAAGACAACCCCGAUGUAUGUGGCCAAGGGGGCUUAUGUGAUGCGGGGGCCAAUUAAUCUACCAAGGCUGAGCGAGCCCAUGGUUAUUGGACGCGCGCCACAGAAGCCCAUGACAGAUCCUACCGUUGUGCCCUAGAACUACAACAAAACGGUGGUGACCUAUAAGGGCAAAGAAAUCUCAAGAGAAGUUCAAGAAGAUAACCCGUUGAAAAGUAUUCUAAUUUGGAAGGGGUGAACAAUUCCACUAGAAAGCGCUUCCCAUCUAAGAAGCCCGUGAGUGCCAAAGAAGCAGAGACCUUCUUUCAAAAGAUGAAAAUGUCGGAUUAUGAGGUGAUCGACCAGCUACGAAAAUUCCCCGAACAAGUCUCUUUGUUGGUUUUGCUGAUGAACUCCACCGCACAUCAGAAGGUAUUGAUUAAGACCCUUAACGAAGCAUACGCGCCUGUCGAGACUUCUGUAGAACAGUUGGAGAGGAUGGUAGAAAGGUUUUUCGCAAUUAACCAGAUUUCCUUCAGCAAAAAUGACUUGCCCCCAGAAGGGGCCGCGCAUAACAAAGCCCUGCACCUGACAGUCAAAUGCGAAGGGUACUAUGUGAAAAAGGUUAUGUUGGACGGAGGCUCUGGGGUAGACAUCUGCCCACUCUCAACUCUACAACGCAUGGAAAUCUGGACCAAAAGAAUUCGACCCAAUAAUGUCUGUGUACGGGCUUUCGAUGGUAUAAAAAGGGACACAAUUGGAGAGAUCGAUCUGAUUCUGACCAUCGGCCCAGUAGACUUCGAAGUAACCUUCCAGGUUUUGGACAUGGUCACAUCCUACAAUUUUCUUUUGGGGAGGCCAUGGAUUCAUGCAGCGGGGGCUGUACCCUCUACCCUUCAUCAGAUGGUAAAAUUUGAGCAUGAAGAUCAAGAGAUUGUGGUCCACAGGGAAGACGAGCAGUCAAUUUAUUGGGACCCAUCAGUCCCAUGUCUUGAAGCAAGAGAAGGGAGUGAGCACAUAGUUUAUCAGGCCUUUGAAGUUGUGGUCGCAGACCAACACGAAGAGGGAAAUCAUUGCCCCCAACCCUUCCUUUCUUAUGCAACAAUCAUGGUGGCCAAAGAAAUGAUUAGACAUGGCUUCAAGCCGGGGAAGGGGCUCGGGAAAUCCUUGCAAGGAAUAACUGAACCUGUCACCUUGACCGCCAGUGAAAAGUUCUUUAGGAUAAGUUUUCGACCCACUCCAGCUGAUGUAAAAUGGGCAAAUGAUAGAAAGAAUGAUGGUUGGGUUUUGCCACAUCCGGUGUCGCAUCUGUACAAAACAUUUAUCAAGCCAAAAUACCAUGAGAAGGAAGAAAAUGAGGCCUUCACGGCUGAAGAGAUUGAAGAGAUCUGUGGGACAAUGAGGAAGAUACCAUAUGAAACCUACAUGGUCCAGCUGGGGGAGGGCUCAAGCACCGCUGAGGUGCUGUAUAUGGGACUUAAUGCCAAGCUGCAGAAUUGGAAGUCUACGCCAUUCCCAAUCAGGUGGGAAUCCCAGUAGACCUGUCCUGCCACCUUUUCUGCAUCAUGAGUUAUUUCAGGGUGUAACUCGGAUGUUUUCUUUAGUUUCUUGUCUUUUAAUUUUCCAAUGUAAACCCUGCUAUCUUCAAAUUCCAAGAAAUGAAAUCAAUAUUUCAUCGUUCAUCCUUUUUUAUUCCUUCUGAUUUUGUUGUUUUUUCUCUUUUAUUUCUUUUUUCAAUUCUAAUAAUGCGGCUUUAAAUAACAUGACAUGCUUGCGGACUUCAUGCCCAAAUCCAAGCACGUUGUCUAACUGCGAAAUAAUGAAUCAAGAACCGAAGUAUGAUGAAGAUGAGGCUUUUAGGGAAAUAAAUUGAGAAUUGGAACAAUUUGAGAAUAAACCUAAGCCGAACUUAAAUGAUACUGAACCGGUUAAUUUGGGUAGUUCUGAAGAAAUCAGGGAAACCAAGAUAAGCAUUCACCUAGACGGAAAAACUCGGGACGCCUUAAUCCAACUCCUGUUUGAGUUCAAAGAUGUGUUCGCUUGGUCAUAUGACGACAUGCUAGGGCUGAGUGUUGAUUUGGCGGUUCAUAAGUUGCCUACUUACCCAGAUUGUCCCCAAGUCCAACAAAAGCAAAGAAAAUUUAAAACUGGUAUCAGUGACAAGAUCAAAGAAGAGGUCACGAAGCAGUUGAAAGCGGGGGUGAUCCGAGUGGUACGGUACACCACAUGGCUAGCUAAUGUGGUCUCAGUUCCAAAGAAAGACGGGAAGACCGGGGUGUGUGUGGAUUACAGAGAUUUAAACAAGGCAAGUCCCAAAGAUAACUUUCCUUUGCCGAACAUCCACAUCCUUGUUGAUAACUGCGCCAAGCAUGAGAUACAAUCUUUCGUGGAUUGUUACGCAGGAUAUCACCAGGUGUUGAUGGAUGAAAGAGAUGCGGAGAAGACAGCUUUUACCACACCGUAGGGUACAUACUGUUACAGAGUCAUGCCAUUUGGUCUGAAGAAUGCCAGGUCAACCUAUAUGAGGGCCAUGACUGUCAUUUUUCACGAUAUGAUGUACCAAGAAAUAGAGGUGUAUGUGGACAAUGUAAUCAUCAAAUCCAAAACCCAGGAUGAUCACGUUCGGGACUUGAGAAAGUUCUUUGAGCGGCUGCACAAAUAUGAUUUGAAUCUGAACCCAGCCAAAUGUGCAUUUGGGGUACCAUCCGGCAAACUCCUAGGAUUCAUCGUCAGUCGAAGGGGCAUCGAGUUAGACCCAACUAAGAUAAAGUCUAUUCGAGAUUUGCCUCCUCCGAAAACCAAGAAGGAUGUUAUGAGUUUGUUGGGUAGAUUGAACUAUAUCAGCCGGUUCAUUGCCCAGUUGACAUCCACAUGUGAACCCAUAUUCAAAUUGCUAAAGAAAGACGUGACAAUCAACUGGACAGAUGAAUGUCAAGAAGCUUUUGAUAAAAUCAAGGAAUAUCUGUCAAAUCCGCCAGUCUUGGUCCCACCUGAGCCAGAGAGGCCUUUGUUCUUGUACCUGACAGUCUUGGAAAAUUCUUUUGGCUGCGUCCUCGGGCAACACGAUGUGACCGGAAAGAAAAAGUAGGCCAUUUACUAUCUGAGCAAGAAAUUCAUUAGUUAUGAAGCCAAAUACACUUUGUUGGAAAGGACUUGCUGCGCUCUGACUUGGGUCGCUCAGAAGCUGAGGCAUUAUUUGCAAGCUUAUACCACUUACCUCAUAACCAGGUUGGAUCCUUUAAAAUACAUAUUCCAGAAGCCAAUGCCCACUGGGAGGCUAGCAAAGUGGCAGAUCCUGCUUACGGAAUUUGACAUAGUAUAUGUCACUCGCACGACAAUGAAAGCCCAGGCGUUGGUAGAUCAUUUGGCUGAAAAUUCGGUCGAUGAUGAAUACUAACCUUUGAAUACUUACUUCCCAGAUGAAGAGGUAAACUCAGUUGAGGCAAUAUCUGAAGACAUCAAUGCUUGGAAAAUAUUCUUUGAUGGAGCGGUAAACGCAAAAAGGUGUCGGAAUUGGGGCAAUCUUGAUCUCGCCCACCGGUCAGCAUUACCCAACCACAGCUAGGCUUCGGUUUUUCUGCACAAACAACACUUCCGAGUACAAAGCUUGCAUUAUGGGUAUGAACCUGGCAAUCGACCAAGAUGUCGAAGAACUGUUAAUCAUGGGAGAUUCAGAUUUGAUUAUCCGACAAGCUCAAGGAGAAUGGGAAACCCGAGAUGUCAAGCUUAUUCCUUAUAGGCAACAUGUGGAAGAACUUGGCAAGCGAUUUAAGUCAAUAGAGUUUAGGUACAUUCCUCAUUGCCACAAUGAACUAGCUGAUGCGCUUGCCACUUUAGUCUCAAUGCUACCAUACCCAGGUAAUGCCCACAUUGACCCCUUGGAAAUCCAGAUUCGGGAAAGGCAUGGUUAUUGUAAUACGGUUGAAACAACACCAAAUACCCAACCAUGGUACCAUGACAUCAAAAAGUUUUUAAAAAUGCAAGAAUACCCCGAGCAAGCCAGUAGAGAUCAGAAGAGAACCAUUAGGCGGCACGCAAGUGGUUUCCUUUUGAGUGGCAAUGUCUUGUACAAGAGAACUCCGGACUUCAACUUGUUAAGAUGUGUUAAUGUAGAAGAGGCUGGAAGAAUCAUGCAUGAGGUACACAUGGGAGUAUGCGGACCCCACAUGAACGGUUAUGUUUUAGCAAAGAAAAUCCUUCGAGCGGGCUAUUACUGGAUAACCAUGGAAAAGGACUGUUUCAGCUUUGUCCGGAAGUGUCAUCAGUGUCAGGUGCACGGUGAUUUGAUUCAUGCACCUCCCAUAGAACUACAUCCUAUGUUAGCACCUUGGCCAUUUGUUUCUUGGGGUAUGGAUGUCAUUGGGCCAAUCGAGCCGAAAGCCUCAAAUGGGCACAGAUUCAUACUAGUUGCCAUUGACUACAUCACAAAAUGGGUUGAAGCCAUCACUCUCAAAUCCGUUACCAAGAAAGCAGUGGUAGAUUUUGUGCACUCCAAUCUUAUCUACCGUUUUGGCAUUCCUGCAACUAUUAUCACGGACAAUGCCACAAACUUGAAUAGUCAUUUGAUGGGAGAGAUAUGUGAGAAAUUCAAGAUAAUGCACCGGAACUCUACUCCUUAUCGGCCCAAAGCCAAUGGUGUCGUCGAAGCAGCAAACAAAAACAUCAAAAUGAUUUUGAGAAAGAUGAUUCAAAGUUCCAGGCAGUGGCAUGAAAAGUUGUCGCUUGCAUUGUUAGGAUAUCGCACUACCGUGCGCACGUCAAUUGGAGCCACCCCGUAUCUGUUGGUUUAUGGCACUGAAGCCGUAAUACCCGCAGAGGUUGAAAUCCCCUUUCUCAGGAUCAUUGUGGAAGCUGAUAUUGAAGAUAGUGAGUGGGUUAAAACCCGUCUGGAAUAGUUAACCUUGAUCGAUGAAAAGCGAAUGGUCGCGGUCUGCCACGAGCAGUUGUACCAACAAAGAAUGGCCCGUGCCUACAAUAAGAAAGUGCGGCCUAGAAAUUUUGAAGUGGGGCAACUCGUUUUUAGCCGUAUUCUUCCCCAUCACCAGGAAGCAAAAGGAAAAUUUGCUCCUAAUUGGAAAGGCCCAUACAUCAUUAGAAAGAUAUUGCCGAGAUGAGCAUUGUAUCUGGGCGAUAUCGAAGGAAAUGAUCCCAAAGCAGUUGUAAAUGCGGAUGCAGUCAAAAGGUACUAUGUUUAGGUUUUCUGCAGUAACAACCUUGUCUGAUUGGGAUGACGAAGGCUUUCGUUCUCGCUACCCCAAAUACUAUCUCCCCUUUUGCAAACCCAUAUGAGCCGGUUACUCUUCUUUGAUUACCCUCUUUGCAACCGAAAAGUGUUAUGAAAUGAAAAUGAAAAAAAAAGUUUUCCUGAACUACGUUCGACUUGAUUCCGAAAGGAUACGUAGGCAGCCUCUCCCUGGGGUUCAGUCACACCAAAACAAAAAGCCAAUUUUUUCCCAAAAGAGUAAAAUUGGGACAGAUGAUGUAAUAGUUCGGCAAUGAUCCCGCCGACCGGUUCCAAAGUUGUAAUGCGAUCCAAUUCUCUUUUUACCCGAACCCUGUCCAAGUCCUACUGAUCAAUCGGCAAAGGCGUCAGAAUUAGAAAACACAGCUGCGUGGAUUUGAUACAAUCAAAAUGAGAGAAAUAAAAUGAGAGAGUCUUAUCGGUGAAAACCUACGGGCACCAUAAGGCAAUAGUGAGCAAAGAAAUUGAAAAUGAGAGAGCUUGGGUAGUGAAAACUCGUAAGGAGCACUAUCAGGCAGCGGUGAGAAGGGAAAUGAGAGAGGUCGAUUGGCAAAAGCCCGCAAAGGGCGCCGUUGAUCGAAAAGAAGACACCCUCGCCACCAUUGGAGUCCUGGCUAGGUUUCUCGAUUUGAAAAUAUGGUUCACAAUGAGUUUAUGAGGAAUUAGGGAAGUUUGUGCGGGUCGGAUAUCCAGUCCAAGAAGUAUGUCAUGUCUAUUGAAGCCCGCAUGCACCCCAGAUAAGUCCUUCCUCCCCUCCCGAAAGGGACGCUUCUCCCUUAAAUUCAUUUUUUCUUGUCCUUUGUUUACUUUUCCUUGAAUCCCUUUCGGUCUAACUCCGUUCCGAAACUGAUACAAAGACAAGGUGGCAAGAUUGGUUUUACAGGUUUCCGCUUGAUAAAAGCCAAAUCAAAUAAGAGUACCCAGCCUCAGCGGAUGCAUCGAGUCGAUCCCGACUGGCCAUGAUAGUUGAUGCUCUGAAACCAGAAUUUAUGAAAAUAAAAGAAAUCCGAAGUCAAAAUCCCUAAAGGGGGGAUAAAGUGAAAAGGCCAAAACCCCGCACGGUUGAAUCGUCGUCUGGGAAGUUUGAAAAGUUGAGUUCCUCGGUCUCAGGAGAGAGAUUAGUUUUCAGCAAGCCAGCAAGCAGAAGAGGUUCUCACCAAAAGAGUUGGGCCGAGAUCAAGCGAUCAAAACAUUCAAGGCCACAAAAAUCAACCACUGUUUCAAACUGACAAAUUGCUCUUUGAGUUGAAAACAGGAGAACGGGUGUAGUCCAAAACAACCCUGCAAGAAGUAGGUGCAAUAAAAGCAAGGCACGCAGAAACCAAAACAGUUCUGCAGCAAAAGUUGACCCGAAGAGGGAAGUCCUUUUAAACUCUUCAGUCAUUCUCCUAAAUAAAAUGAAAAGUGAAGUAAAAAAAAAGAGGAAGAAGAAAAGAAAGAAGANNNNNNNNNNNNNNNNNNNNNNNNNNNNNNNNNNNNNNNNNNNNNNNNNNNNNNNNNNNNNNNNNNNNNNNNNNNNNNNNNNNNNNNNNNNNACCCAAGGACCCUUUUUCUUUAUCCCGGCAUAACCCGUGGACCUCCCUGGAAUAACCCAAGGCCCUUUUUUUCUUUUCUCUCGGCAUAACCCGUGGACCUCCCUAGCAUAACUCAAGGACCUUUUUUCUUUUUCUCCCGGCAUGACCCAUGGACCCCCUGGCAUAACCCUAGGACCUUUUUUCUUUUAUCCCGGCAUAACUCGUGAACCUCCCUGGCAUGACCCAAGGACCUUUUUCUUUUAUCCCGGCAUAACCCGAUGACCCCCCUGGCAUAACCCAUGAACCCUUUUCUUUUAUCCCGGCAUAAUCUGAGGACCCUUUUUCUUUUCCGGCAUAACCCGGUCAGCUUUCCAGCAUAACCUGUAAAUCCUCCCAAUUUAGGGCUUUGCACCCUACUUUUGAGGAUACACAAUCCUGAUUUUUAUUGCUUUCAAUAAAGAGAUAGCUUGGAUUUGUGUUGCAAAUAACUCACGAAAUUUUCCUAGUGAAAAGUGGGGAAGAACAAUUUCAUUCGUUUGUUUGUUUUGGUGUCUGAGCAGGUUUUACCUCAAGGCACGAGAUUCAAGAUGGCCAAAAGAAUGAGUCUCAAUCCGAAAAGAAGAAAAGAACAAAAAGAAGUGAAUUCAAAGUGUUAAGGAAGACAAAGAUGCGGAUUGCUCAAAACUUGAUUGAAGGCACAAGCUUCGCCUGUCCCGCCUUGAUCCAGUAAACCAGCACCUACAGCUUGCGAGCAUCAAGAUUCGGAUCGGGGUCCACAGCAAAAUCAGCUAAGACUCAAGAUCAAGUUGCAAGAGAUUUAUAGAUAGGAAUCUUGUAACUCGUAGUUGAUAGGUGUAGCUAGCGUAGCUUUUGAUUUUUCCUUUUUGGCGUAAUAAGAAGGUCAGCAAGCAGUAGCAACAGCAGUGAAAUCACAGCUUCCGGAUAGUCCCAGCUACCAAAACUUCCAGAACUACACCGACAUGAUUCCUUUAUAGACAAGGAUAUGUAGGCAACCUUUGAAGCAAGGUUCGGUCAGACUCUUUUCAAAAUGCUUCUCAUGGAGUGUCAAACGGGCAAAAAUCCCUCAUAAUUGCUCAUUUUAUCUUUGCCCGAAAACCCUUCGUGUCUCCGAGCAAAGAGGGGCAUCUAUGAGCACGUGAUUUUUGCCUCGCAUGAAUUACUCCUACAGAAUCCCCAAAAUUAGGAUUUUUCUUUUUAUUUAUUUGGUAUUUAGGAAUUAAUUGGCCAAUUUUCGUGUUUAUUUACAUUUUGUGCGCAUAUUUAAUUUUAUUUACAUCAUGAAAAAUAGCAAAAAAAUAUCACGCAUUGCAUUUAGGAUUUAAUUUUAUAUUUUUAGAUUAAUUAGUAAAUUAGUUUGUUUUACGAAAAUGGAAAAAUCACAAAAAUAGGUCGUUUUCGCAUUUUUAAUUUUUAGCUUCGAAUUUUAGUAGUUUUCUUUUAAUUUGGUAUUUAAUUAGUUGUGGUAAUUAUUAUUUAGAGUUAAUUAAUUUAAUUUGGUAGGAUAAUUUGGUUUAGGGAUUAUUUUAGGUUUUAUUUCUAAUUUUUUUGAAAAGAAAAGAUGUUUUUAUAAUAAAAGGAAAAUGGGAAAAGGAAAAGAAGUGAAAAGAAUCAGAUGUUUGGGCCAAAUCCAUAAAAUUCCUCAAAGCCCAAUUAAUUCAACCCUUGAAACCCGUUUACCCAAGCCCAAAACCCGUCUCACCCAGUCUAGCCCACUCUCAUCAAACGACGUCGUUUAGGUGACCAGCAGAUCUGAGCCGUCGAGGUUCUUUAAUCCAACGGCUCCAAAGUGGGGGACCGCCUAAUAUAUAUAUAUAUGUCCAAAUGCCCGUACCCCCCCUCAUCUCAUCUCUCUCAACUCCUCUCUUCAGAGAUCGUUACCACGAACCCUAGAGCGCCACCCUCAAAACCUUGCCAUCUUCGGUGGCGGCACCGGUAUCAAUCAACACCAAAUCAACACCCCAGAUUCCCCUUCACCUCCCCGUUCCGAAUCCUCACUCCUUUUCUUUCGAAUCUGUCUGGAGCGUCACGAAUCUUGAUUCAAAGGAGAAGCCCUAGCGCCGCCUUUGUUUUCUCCGAUGGCGGCGCCACCCCUAACCGGCCCCAAACAUCCACCCCAAAAUCCUCGCAACCUCCCCUUCCCAAAUCCCUAACUAAUUUCCCUCGAAUCCUUUGGCAUCUGCUCAAAUUUCAAAUCUGAGCGCGAACCCUAAAAACACAAAAUCAAUUUCUAUUGAAUCUGUUGGCAUGCAUGACCAUAGGCUUCCGAUUUGUUCUAGUGUUGAAGUUUGAUUCAACGUGAAUUGAUGCUACUCAUUUGUUCUUGACAAAGAACAAGUGAUUAGUAUCAAUUCCGUUUAAAUCAUGAUGUCCAACGUUAUUUCGAGUUUAGUCGGCAAGCUUUCUUUAUUUUUCUAUCCAUUUUGUUAUUUCACCUCCUACUCCUCUUUUUCUUCUCAUUUUUCAUGAAGUAGACUAAAAAUUGACCAAGGUUCUGUACCUAGGUUUCUUUUUCUAGAUUGAUUCAUAUCUGUAUUGGUUCCGGCUUUUUUUCAGUUUUCCUUUCAACUUUUAAACGUUGUUUUUGGUAAGAUUAUUUACUCGUCAUGCUUAAUUGUCACUCAUGACUUUAAGUUUCUGAUUUUUUCUAGUCGUAUGAUUAGUUUAAUUAGAUGUUGUUGAUUUGGUAAUAUAGUUAAUUCUAGCUCAUUAUUUGGUUAAAAUCAGUCAUUCAGUUUAGAUUUUUGUUUUUGAAAUCAUUUAAUUGGUUUCUUCUUCUGUUUUUCAUGAAUUGCCAAAUGGAUUUUCUGAUUGAUUUUGGGCUUUGGGGUCAUUUCUGACCCAUUUUUAAGAGAAGCUCACUCAUUUUGGUUUGAGUCUUGGGUCAGAAUUGACCCAUGUGGUCUGUUGUGGUAAUUAACAAAGUCUUAAAGGGUAGAUUAGGAAAUCUAGGUGAGAGAAUCUCUUAUAACUGAAUGGGAAGCUGCCUAGAGGGUGGGGGUUGGGACUUAUGUGAAAACCUGAUUUUUAAACUAAGGAUUAAAUACCAAAAAUGAAAACUUCAAAAGGAUGAAAGUGCAAAAACUGAUUUCAUUAUUGCUGCCCUAGUAACUUGCCUAUAAAGGCAUUGUUACUUGAGACUCAAGGGGGAUUGGAAAAAAAACUAAGAAACUCAGAAAAAAAAAACAGCUGAAAUUUGGAGAAAAAAAUUACUGUUCCAUUAAGUUCUAUUUCUGAUUUUUUGGAAUUCCAACUUGCUAAGGCAAUCUUUGGUUCAGUGGGUAUGUAAAAUGGCUUGAACUUGUUUUUCUCUUAAAGUCUGGGUUUGAGUUCUGGGUCGAGGUCAUUGUUUCAUUAUUGGUUGAGUUGAUUUCACUGGAUAUUUGGUGGAAUCUGUGAUUUUUCUUGCUGCUGAGUUUUACUACUUUGGUUUCUGCUGUUGCUGGACCUGUUAAACUGCUGCUGUAGCUGUUUGUUGCCCUCACAUUUUUCCUUUUGUGUAUUUUCCAGGUAUUUCCCCAAACCAUGGUCAACAAGUGACUAAGAACAUGUAUUUCUAGUUGAAGCCUGACUGAAUGCCAACUGUUUUGAACUCCAUUACAUUCAUUUCCUCUAUUUCUUUAAUGUUCUGUAAUAAGUCCCGAAUUACACAUAUUGUCUCAGUUAUCUCAUGACCUUAAUAUGCUAUACAAGUGAAUAUGUGCUCUUUAAGAGUUUUGGGUGUUGAUUAAUUCUCUAGAUUUUGUUACUUUUUGGUAUUGAAAAAGAGUUAGUUAGUUUAAAGUCUCGUGCUAUGUUUGUAAGUUUAGUUAAGUGUGAAUGUUCGUUAAUCUGAAGUCAAGCAUGUAUCCUCAGUAGUAAUUCAAAGUUUUCCUGAUGUAUUAAUUAUUGGGUAGUGAUGAGAUUUAACAGUUUGUGUUUGAGUGCAAGGGUUUGUUUUGCUUUAGCAUAGACUCGAUCUUGAGUUUGAAAUCCUCAGUUUUGUUUGUUACAAUGUUGGGCUCGUCGAGCCUUGAAUUCUGAAGUCACUUGCAAGGGAAGAUGGCUUGUUGUUAUUAUCUGGGCUCGUUUUUGAGCUCAGUAGUGCAUUCUUUUAGCUACUGGAUUAUUUGGGUAGCAGAUUUGACUCAAGGAUGCAUGGAAGAUAAAAUAAAAAAUUUAGCUUAGUUAAAUUGUGUUAAUUGUUUAAAAUCAGAGUUUAAGUUUGUUAAUCUGACUUUAUGUUCCAUAAUUAACAUCAGUUUAAUUUGUAUGAAUCAUUUGAAUCACGAGAACUUGGUCCUAGCAAUGGCCCAGUAAAUGAAGUCAGGGCCAUUAAUUCAAAUAAUUCUGGUAUUCUGCAUGUGUAGAGACUCAAUCUGGAGUCUCGCAUCUGCCGUUGCCCAUUCUCUAUGGCUUAGGGCUUGCAUUGGGCAUGUAUUAGGGCAGACCGAUUGUUGGUCUUUUAGUUUUAAAUUGAUCCAAAAUUUUAGUCUUAAAAGUGUUGAUCAUUCUGUCCUCUAAUUAAUUGAAUUCUCACUAGUUACAUUACGAAGUGAGCCAUAUCCAUUAGAAUAUAACUUAUGGCCCUCCGAAGCCUAGUUUGAAUGCCUCUUUAAUUAGAAUUGAAGUGCGUCGCACCAAAUAAAAUCUCAAAUGCAUGACCCUCAUUUAAUUAUUUCAUUUAAAAUACCUAAAAAUCGAAGCGUGCCAUUUAGCAAAUUUCCAUGGCCCUCGCAAAGCUAAAACGCGUAGUUUCUUUAGGCGCGUAUUUUAAUAAUAUUACCUUCCUAAACUCGGGUGUGCAUUUCAUGUGACCCAACUCCAAUUCUCAACAAUGUUAAAUAAAAUAUGUCGUGGAUCACGGGUGCAUUUCAUGUGGCGCGGUCCGAAGACGUGUUUUAAAUAACGUUGAAUCUUCCUAAAAAUAAUUAAAAGCGUUUUAAUAAAGUUAAAAUGUACCAUAGGCUAAAACAUGUAUUAAAAUCAGAUAAUAGGCCAAUUAUGAUAGUUUAAGCGACCGUGCUAGAACCACGGAAUCCGGGGGUGCCUAACACCUUCCCUCGGAUUAAUAGAAUUCCUUACUUAGAAUUUUUGGGUUCGCAGACUUCAAAAGGAAAGUCGAAAUCUUCCUCGAUUUGGGAUUAAAAAUUAAACCGGUGACUUGGGACACCAGAAAACAAACCAUCCCAAGUGGCGACUCUGAACAAAAAAUGAAUAAUUAAUCUCAUUUCGAAUAAUGUCACUUAAAUUGGAAAAAACUCCCUUAUACUACCUUCAGAUGUGUAAAAAGGAGGUGUGACAUAGGUUAUAGACUUAUGUUUUCCUUUUCUUUUGAAUUACUUAUUUCAAUUUUACAUAAGAGUAUUAUACUAUUUUUUUUUGAAUUUUAAAUUUAUGUUAUAUUUUUUAUUCUAUUUUAUUUGCUUUCUUAGUAUUGACUUAUUAAUCAGAUAUAUGAGAUUCAUUUUUCAGUUAGAAUUGAUAUAUAAUUUUUUUAUAAAAUAUUUGAGUAAUAUUAUGGUGUUAUAUUUAUAAAUAUUAAUCUUUUAUCAUGCACUCAUGUUGUUCUUAUAAAAUAUGUGCUUUUAGUUUUUAUUAUUAAUUAAAGUAAAAUAUUAUUAAAUUUAAGAUAUACGUCAAUUAUUUUUACAAUAUUAGUUUCAAAUAUAUUAUUAGUAAUUAAUAUAUUUUUCAAGAAAUAAUAUUUAUCUUAAAUGUCAAAAUUAAUACUAUCAUUUAAAAAGGUAUAUAUUUGCUAAAUCUUAACUAUUUUUUUGAUAAUUAACUUUAUGUUUAAAAUUUAAUCUAACUGUAUAAUUACACUUGUGCAACCAAACAAUACGCUUGUAAUUAUAUUAUGACAAACAGAUAGGUUGUCGUAAUUAUAAUAUUGUGUAAUUACUAGAUUGUGUAAUCAUUACUAGAAAUUCGACCAAAACCGAACGCAGCCAACCGACCGGUUUCGAUCGGUAAAAAAAACGACCGAAGUCGGUCGAUUUUUUAACAUAUUUUUUUUUAUUUUUUUUUUUACGAAAAUCGACCAACUUCGCUCGGUUUUUUUUUUGGCGCAAAAAUGCGGGAAACUAUUUUAGUCUCCCGCAAAAUUUAUUUUUUAAGAAACGACCGAAAUCGGUCGGUUUUUCAUAUAAAAUAAAUUAAAAUUAAUGUUCAAAAAUUGACCGAAAUAGGUUUGUUAUUUCAGUCAAUCAUUUUAAAAAACCGCCCGAAGUCUAUAUUUUUAAUAUGACGACCGACUUCGAUUGAUUAUUUUCUCGCAAAGAUACAAUAAAAGAGUACAAAUAUUGUAAAAGAAAGUCGUAAACCAAAAUGUACUAAUGGUUUAUUGGUAGAAUAGGAUCCUGCCACAGUACAGACCCUGGUUCGAUUCCUAGAUGGUGCAUUUUUUAAUUGAACAAUUAAAAAUACCGACCGAAUUCGGUCGGAAAAUAUCGACCGACUUCGAUCGUUUUUUUCGGGAGAAUUUUUCUUUUUGGGUCGGUUAUGAAAUUUAAUUGACCGACUGAAAUCGGAUGGAAAUUGCGACCCGCUUCGGUCGCUAUUUAUUACCGACCAGCCUAAUUUCGACGGAUUAAUAUCGGUCGAAAAUCGGUCGAUUUUCCAAUUUUUCGACCGAUUUCGGUCGGUAUUUCUCGACGGUUUUUGGCAGUUUUCUAAUAGUGAAUUACUACCCUAAUAAUUACACCAAUUCUAAUUAUAUGUUGGCCUUUAAACUUAAGUAACACUUCACUAAUUAGAGUAAACAGUAAUUUAAGAAAAAGUUUCUUUUUAAAUUUAUAUGUAUAGUCAGUCAGACUGGUUGAAUCCUAAAAAAAUACUAAACAUUGAGUAAAAAAACCAAAAAAGCACGUAUGUAAUCUCUCCCUUAGUCCAAGUUCCUUCUUUUUUUUUUGUCAACCAAAGAACUUUAUAUUAUAUAAUUAAAGAUUACAAGGAGCAGGUUGGAUCAACCGUUGAUUACAAAAACUAUUUUACUUCCUAAUGCAAUGGGUGAUCUCGUAUAGGAUCCCACGCUAGUACAAGCAGCUUGACAUAAACGUUGAAAUCAGAAAUCAAGUAACAACAACAACAACAAAUUAGAAAUCAAGUGAUCGAAAAAAAUAGAAAUCAAUUGAAGUGUAAUGGCCUUUACUAUUCAGUACAAGUUAUGAGGACCCUUUGGCCAUAAAAAAAAUUCAUUUUUUUUGGGAAUCAGUGUUUGACCAUAAAAUUUUCAAAUUGAAGUUGAAUUUUGGAAUUUUUCCGAAAUUUUGAAAAAACUCCAAAAAGUUAUUUUUCAAAAUUUUCACUUCAAAUUACUCACAAAAAUUCAAAAACAACUCCAAAUUGUAUUCAUGUCCAAACAUCUAAAUUUUUAAAUACCAUUUUCACUUGAGAAAUAUUUUUUACCUUUUUUCCGUAAUUUCACAAUUCUUACUAUGUCCAAACGCCUACAUCAUCUUUGAAGUAGAAAAAAAUUGAAAUUUGAGAAAUUUAUUUGAGGAAUAACUUGAGCAAAAUAAUAGUCUCUACUUGCAAAAUUUGAACUCUUUUUUUUUUUUCAAAUAAAAUUUAUGUUAAAAACAGUACGGUUACUUAUAAAUACGUUUCUUUCCACUUCAAUUUCAAAUGCUUUUCUCAAUGGACCCCUAAAGUUAACAUUUUUGCCUCAAUACAAUUUCAAAAGGCUGAAGUAAUAAAGCUUUACAAGUUACAAGCGGUUAUAACACUUUUAUUUUUAUGCAGUUCAAUCUAUUAUAUUCAUACAAUUUACUUUCAAGUAAAUAUAAUUUAAAUAUAUGAAUUUAAUUAAAUUUAUUGACGAAUCGAUGUCGAAAGACACCAAUUGAUUAUGAGUGCCUAUGCCACAUAAAAUAACAAGAAGAGUUUAGGAAAAAUAGAGCCAUGAUCACGCCCAAUUAUACCUUAUAAAAAGGACAAAACGGUCGUUGCAAAUAUAUUCUGGUUAACAAGUUCGGAGUCGAAUCCCACCGGGAAUUAACCUACUAAACAUAGCUAUUGGACUCCCACAAAUUCACGUAUUCAAUCUUCAGAAAUAUUUAAGUAAUAAAUUGGAUGUUUACUAACUAAAUAUUACGUAAUAAAAAUUCAAUAAAUAAGAACUACCUACGAACGGCUUGUAGACAAGAAUUGAAAUGAUCUAAGGUUCUGAUUUUCCCUAUUGUCGGAUUCCUUUCCGCUACGUUUUCUAUAAAUUUGUCUAAGUCUUCUCUAUCGAUCAGGAGCACUCUGAUUGUCGUAACUCUCUCCCGAGUAAUUACCACAAUAUACUAGACAUAUUCUCCCGAAUUACGCUAGUUGGCCUUAAGUACAUCUCACUCAGAUCGCAUCAAGGUUUCGUUAUCCCUAGUCCCGCUUUUAAAUACUUUGUAUUGAUCCCUCAUAUACGUUAGGAGUGAUGUUGUUCAACAAUUACCUAAAUAUUCACUCUCUCCCGAGUAAUACAUACUAAAUAAGAACAGUUAAUUGAGGACCCUUCAAUCAACAGAAAUAAGCAUAUAAUUGAACAAAUAGAGAGAAUACUAUGGCAAGUCUAUACUAACGUAACAAGAAAAUCAUCCUCCAACAGGUUCCAUCAAAACCCUAAAUUAGGAGUUUAGCUACUCACACUCAUAGUAACAAUAUCCAAAGUAUUUUGCAUAAUAAAAUUACAAAUUAAGGAUAAAGGGAUGUAGAAAUCGUUGAUUCUAACUCCCAAGUAGUGUUCCACGAGCUAUCCUUUCCUCCGGUUGCAAAAGUCCUUCAAAGUGGCAUUUUUAGGUCUAUUUGUAUAUUUAUGACAAGACCUUAACGUGUAGGUCAAAUCCUAGUCAAGCUGAGAAAUGAAUUAAGUCUUCAAAACUCGGACUGGACCUCGCCCUAAGCCUGGCGUUGCCAACCUAACUCUUGGUAAACCUGGCCCCAGGCUUGGGGUUGCAAUCCUAAUGCCUGGUUCUGCUUGGCCUUUGCCUUGUGUCGCCAGCCUAACGCCAGCCUCAAGCCUGGCCUUUGCCUUGCAUCGCCAGCUUCACGCCAGCUUCAAGCCUGGCGUCGCCAGGUUCUCUCAUUCACUGGUCAUGUGCACGCUUUCGACUUGUAGGUCUCCUUUUUCUUCUGCUUUCAUCUCCAAUUCACCUACACAUAAAAUGGACCCUAUAACACACAAAUAAUGUGUACUUUAUCAUUAAACUGUAUAAAAAUGCAAGGCGAAUAAUGUGCUAAACCAUGAAUUAUAGCCACACAUGAAUACCUCACACUUAAUCAUUGCUCGUCCUCGAGCAAUCAAAUUACACUCAUAGACACAACCUAUUAAGCAAUUCCCUUAACUCAUUAUACCAAGAAUCUUUAAAAUAGUUUAAGCACAAAGGUGUGACAUCCUCGCAUCAAGAUUCAACUCACAAAUACCAUGCCUUAUUCACAAUUCACUUACUUACUCUAACAUGGAAGUUAACAACAUUACCUUUUUUUAUGAAUCAUGUUCCCUCACCCAAUCAAAGAGCUUAGUUCCACACACAGUGAAUUUUAAUAACGUAGGAACUCAAGAUGGGAUAAAUUCACUGGCUCUUAGAAAUAACCUUCAUAUGCCCCAAAUGAUGCACUAUAAGCUUGCCCGUAGUGUAAUACUCCACUAAUCGAGUUCAUUCAGUCUAAGAACAAAUAGGACUUUCAUUGGUUGUGAUGUAGGCUGCGGGUCAGGUAGGAUACAUUUGAAUAUAAGCGACUACACCUCAUUUAAGCACUUUAAUACAAACACUUUAACCUUCAAGCCCAUAUUUAUGUUAAACCAAAACUCCACCUUAAUUCCACUAUUUUUACCCCCUACUUCUUUAAGCACCAGUACAUCAAAAGCCACCACCAUCAGGAAUUAUUUUUCAUACACUACAACUAUUAUAUUUAUUUAUUUUUUCUUUUUUUUCUUUUUUUCUAUCCAAAUGGCUUUUAUUGACAUAUUCUUUUCUUUCAAAUGGUGCACCUUUCUCCUUAUUUUAUUUGUUCCACUCAAAAGCCAACCCACCACCCCACACUUUAACUUUUCUAUAAUUCAUCACAAUUAAAGUGCUCAUGAGAGGUGACAAGGUUCAAAUAUAUGGUCGAUUCAAACAAAGGGGUACAACUUGUAAUGUGGUUACCAAAGAAAUAGGAUUGCAGUCUCAAAGAGGUUAACUGCGAUACAUAACAUUUAGAUGGGUACUCUAUAUAUAUUUGGCUUAAUAAAGAACUGCCUAUAUCACUUCUCAGACUGAACAAGACUACAAUUUCUCUUUGCGCACACACGGGGCAAGUUCUAGACAUCAAAUGGUAUGCACAUAAUACAUUCAAACCUCACAUAGACAUGACACAUAACUCAUUCAGGAUUGUUUUUUUUAUCACGAUACUCCAGUCAAAGCAGUUAAGCAAAUUUAAGAAUCUACGAUUUAAGGUACUUAUACUAGAGUCAAAAAUUGAGCCUAAGCGUCACAACCAGAGUACUGGCUAUUUUCAAGGCAUCACAAAGCUUAGAGAUAUUGCUGCGAUUAAAUGCAUAGCCACGUGGUUCCUACUCCUAAAAAUUAAAACUAACUACACCCGGUUCAACUAAAAACCCUUGAAAAAGAACCGCGUUCCAAAGAAAUCAAGGGGGAAUUAUUACACUACCUACACAAAAAAAUCUUUUUGGUAUUUUCUUUAGACUUACUUCCCUCAAGAAAACUAUCUAGGAGAUCCACCGACGGGAAAAAUCCAACAUUUUAAUGUUUUUAAAUAUUUUCUGCCUAAAAAAGCUAACAAAAAAAAAACAAAUUCUAAAAAUAAAAAAAAAACUUAAAAUAAAUAACUGAAACAUUUAGCUAACAAAAACGACACUUACUACAACAACAAAAAUAGCUAACAACUACUAAUUUCUACAAGUUCUCACCCCACACUUAGAUCAUGCCGUGUCCUCAGUCCAUGCACAAAUUGACAAAACAAGAAAGAAAAAGAGUAGGGUGCAAGGAAACUCCCUGAUCAAGCAGUGUCUUCAUCCUCUAACGCUCUCCACUCUUUAUCAUGUUCGUCCUCCUCCUCCUUAUCAUCUAUCUCACCAUUUGAUUGUUGUGGAUCAACCUCAAACUGCUCAAGUGUAUUGAUAUCCUCAUCAUCGGGGAGUCUGUAUCCAUCUCCUAACCCAACUAGCUGCUGGGCAUGAGCAUUGAGCGGGUACCAAUGCUUCAAUUCAGUCAUCUCCUCAGAUGUGGCCCGGCGACCCCCUAUCCGCAGCUGCAAAUCCAUCAUCCCAUAGAUAUGGGCCAUAAAACUAUCAUUAUGCGCAUUGCGCUCAGCACAUGUCAAUGAUGGCAUGGCAGACUCAUUUUUCAACUGGAGAUUAGUGAUGCCCAUUUGUCGGAUGGGCUGAUCGAUGGUGUGGUCAAAUUCAGGCUCCUCCUCAACCUCCUCGUGCUUUAAGAACUACGUCAAGAAAUUAGCAAAUGGCAUUCGAUCUAUUUUCUUACUCGUUCUCACUGAUGACAUCUGGUAGCAUAUCAGAUGACCCACAUUCACCUUUGACCUGUCAUAAGGAAGUAUAGCACACAUGCCCUCUCACGGCUAACGAGCGUGUCAUGAUUUCACGGUAGGAGCCAUGCGUUUAUCUGUUUAAGCCACACAUAAGCCUCCGCCUUCAUCUUCUUCUUAGGGAAUCUCUUGUGACGGUUUGUUGCCUUAUCCCAGACCCACACAACCGUACAGUCUACACCAUAGAGCGUGUGCCUCAACUCUCUAUAUGUAGGCCUGCGAAUGAAUUGGUCCAAUGGCUCCACAGGAACAUUUGGUGCACCUAAAAAGUCGCAUAUAACUGUGGCUGAAAAAUCUAUCAAACGUCCACAAUUUGGCACCAGCUUCUCAGUGUCCUGUGGGUCAAACCCUGCAUAGAAUUCUCAGACUAGGUUGAGAUUGAUGUCCCCUGUGUUCUUAAAAACAUAGCUUAACCCCAAAUCCUGGAUGCCUCUCCAAAUUUCCUGACAUUUCGCUUUCAGGCUACGUUCCUGAAUGGCUGCUUCCGGAUGGACAUGUUUAGGCCUAUAGCGCCUGUACUAAUCAUUUGUAUGUGGGGGUAUGUUGUUUAUGCCAAAAUCCUGUUGGCCUUGGGGUUGUGGACGCAUGGAAGCUAUAGCUGCCACGACUUGUGAUCCACUCAGACUAGAGGCAGCUUCUCCCCCUUUUCUUUUAUUUGGAGGAGGUGCGGAGGUUGCCUUUGCUUUAGCUGGGGCAGUUGAAGUGGCUUUUCCUUUGCCUGUGUCUUUUCUGUGAGGCAUCUUCAAUCCUAUAUAAAUAAGCAAUAGUCAGAUAAAAUUGACGUGACGACCUGGCCAGUUGUCUCAUGAGUUACCACUUUGUUUCCCCCAUUUCUGCUUCUUUAUGCUUCGUUAUCUGUGUUUUGUGGUAUCGGGUUGGUCAUAUCGAAUUUGGAAUGAUUUUGGUAAGGUUGGAGACACUUAGUCUCUUAUAAGAAAGCUUAAGUUGGAAAAGUCAACUGGAUGUUGACUUAUGUGUUAAAGGGCUCGGAAGUGAAUUCCGAUGAUCCGGUUAGCUUUGGGAUGUGAUUUGUGACUUAAGAGUGUGAUCAGAAUGAGUUUUGGAGGUUCGGAGUAGAUUUAGGCUUGAAUUGUCAAAGUUGAUAUUUUGGCAAUUUUCGGUCGAGAGGCGAGAUUUUGAUAUAGGGGUCGGAAUGGAAUUCCGAGAGUUGUAGUAGCUCUGUUGUGUCAUUUGGGAUGUGUGUGCAAAAUUUCAGGUCAUUCGGACAUGAUUUGGUUGGGUUUUUGAUCAAAAGCGUAAUUUAGAAGAUUUUGGAUUUUUUAGUCUUGAAUCCGAUGUGAAUUUGGUGUUUCGAUAUUGUUUUGAGCGUUUUGAAGGUGGGAACAAGUUUGAAUGAGGUUAUGGAUAUGUUGGCAUGUUUGGUUGAGGUCACGGGGCCUCGAGUGAGGUUUCGGGUGGUCAAUCGGACCAUUUCAUGAAGUUUAAAAUUGCAGAAAUCUGUUGCUCAGUGUUGCAGACAAUUGCUCUUCGCGUUCGCGGGAGGGGAGCCGCGAUCCCGAAGGGUUAGCUGGAGAAGGCUGAGACUUUGGCCUUCGCAUUCGCGAUGGAGUCUUCGCGUUCGCAAAGGAGUGGGAAACGAUGCACCGCGUUCGUGAGGUCUACUCCGUGUUCGCAUAGAAAGAAUUGGCCAGCUGGGUUUUGAGAUAUUUUGUUUAUCGCGUUCACGGGCAAGGGAGCGCGUUCGCGAAGGUCUGUCUGGGUAAAGCAUCGCAUUCACGAUGGGGUGGUCGUGAUCGCGAAGAAGAAUUUUGGUCAACGGAAUUUUUGUGCUUCGCGAACGCGAGGCUUUGACCGUGUUCGCGAUGAAGGAAAUUUAUGCAUGGACAGAAUGUUUAAGUACUCGUCUUGUCCGCGAUUUUGGGGUUUAUUUCUUCCAUUGUUGGUCGUUUUUGGAGCUUUUUGAAGGGGAUUGAAGAGGGAUUCAAGGGGAAUCACUUGGAGGUAAGAUUCUUGGACUUAAAACUCGAUUCUAAUGUGAAUUCCACCUAAAUAAUCAUGGAAAAUAAGCCAAAAAUUGAAGAACUAGGGCUUGGAAAUUUAGACCUUUGAUUGAGGAUUUGAAGGACCAUUUGAGGUUGGAUUUCAGGACUUUUGAUAUGUAUGAACUCGUGGGGAGAUAAGGAAUCUAUUGAUGUAAAAAUUAUUGAAUUUCNNNNNNNNNNNNNAAUAGAAAAUGUCGGCUGGCUUUGUCUUCACGAGAGGCGCCAUCACAACUGAGUCCGGGUUUAGGGUCGUGACAAUUGCAUUACACACAUAAUCUUGCCCAACUUUCCGAGGUUACUCAGACUUCACCUCGUAUUUUCUUAAUAUUAGAAUCAAACAACAACACAUGGGCUACCCGCAAACCACUCCACACUUAAGAUUUUAAUGUGGUACAUGAUUACAUAACACUAGUCUAUUAAUCCCGGAGACUCAAGCUCCAAUAGGGACAAGGAAUGCCAUUGAGGCAUUAUAUCAAACACUUAACAAGCUCCAUGGGAGUUCUUAUGGAAAUGAGGGAUUGCCUCAUCCUCCCAAAUCAGCUUGGGGGUUCCGUACUACCACAUAUUUUCACAAUCGCAGAACCAUUCCUAUGGGGUCCAUGGGGUUGGGGCACACAAACACAAUACUAUAAUGAAGAACAACCACCAACUUUUGUGUGUAAUUGUAUACCUGUACCCAACUUGAAAUUGCAAGGAAAAGAGAUAAAAAUCAUACCUUUGAAGCUUUUGAGAGGAGGAAGCUGCUAGAGAAUUACUGAUGAGCAAAACUAAGCCUGACUUCAAUGGGGAUGGGAGAGACACGAUAGAAAUCUACUGGUGAGUGUGUGGGUGAGCAGAAUUGUGCAGUGUGUGAGUUAAGAGCAAAGAGGGUGCUAUGUGUGCUUGAGAGUUUUCUUGUUUUUGACCUUGAUGUGUGUUUGGGGUAAGUUAGGUUAGGGUUUUUGUAUUUUGGUCAAUGUUUAGGGCGUGUAGGUGAGGGAGUUCGACUAAAAUAAGGGACAAAAAAUUAAACUGGGCCGAAAAAAACUUGCCUGCAUUACCCAAGUGUCGUCAGCCGUAACGCAAGCCUUACCUGGCUUUACCUAGGCGUCACCAGCCUAAUGCCUGGUGGACCUGGCGUUAGCCAGGCGUUGCCAGCCCCGGCACCUAGUGUACGUUAGGUGACGCUUAAAACCUGUUCGACUUGCCCAAACUCACCUGCAAACUUGUUAGUACCUAAAAACAAAAAGAAAAAUUCUAACUACACGAAAAAUCAACUACAAAUUGGGUUGCCUCCCAACGAGCACCUUAGUUAAUGUCAUGGCAUGACGAAUACAACAGUCCAAUGGAUUGCCUCCCAUGAAGUGCCUAAUUUAACGUCACGACACGAUGUAGGUAAGCGCAUUUAACGGAUGCUCAACAUCGAUGGCUCGAUCAAAUGAGUCACUGACACUACCUUUGCUUCAUCCAUGCCUAUAUAAUGUUUUUAUCUGUGCCCAUUGACUCUGAACUUGUGAGAGUCAUUUUUUGCAGCAAUCUCUACGGCACCAAUGGUAUGAAUUUCAACCACACGAAAUGGUCCCGACCAUCUUGACUUUAAUUUGCCUAGAAAUAACCUCAGUCUUGAAUUGUAUAGUAAUACCUAUCUCCGGGUUUAAAACUCCACUCAAUAAUAUUUUUGUCAUGUAUCAUAUUUAGUCUCUCCUUUUAUAAUCUUGUGCUCUCAAAAGCAUGGUAUCGAAACUCAUCGAGCUCGUGCAACUCAGUGACUCUACUCGUACCCACAACUUCUAUAUCGAGAUUCAACUGCCUCAAUGACCACAAAGCUUUAUGCUCCAACUCCACCGGUAAGUGACACGCUUUCCCAAACACCAAUUUGUACGACAACAUGCCGAUCGAUGUUUUGAAAGCGGAUCGAUAGGCCCAUAGUGCAUCAUCUAACUUUCUCGCCCAAUCUGUUCUAGUAGCAUUCACAGUCUUUGUCAACACACUCUUUAUCUCUCUGUUCGAAACCUCCACUUGCCCACUCGUUUGUGGAUGAUAUGGGGUGGCAACCUUAUGGAGUACAUCAUACUUUUCUAACAAAUUCGUGAUGGCUCGAUUACAAAAGUGAGUGCCUCUAUUAUUGAUUAUUGCCCUUGGAGUGCCAAAUCGGGUGAAUAUGUUCUUUCUCAAAAAAACAAUUACCCCUUUGCAUCAUUUGUAGGGAGCACUGCAGCCUCUACCCAUUUGGAGACGUAGUCCACAGCGACGAGUAUGUACUUUUUUCCAUAUGAACUGACGAAAGUCCCUAUGAAAUCAAUUCCCCAUACAUCAAACACUUUUACCUCCUGAAUUAGGUUCAUGGGCAUCUCAUGUCGGCGAGAAAUAUUCCCGGUUUGUUGGCAUUCAUCACAACCCUUUAUCCAUAAGUGUGCAUCAUUGAACAAUGUUGGCUAUUAGAAGCCUGACUCCAAGACUUUCGCAGCUAUCCUUAGUCCCCCAAAAUGGCCACCAUAUGGUGACGCGUGACACGCCUGCAAAAUAGAAGAUUGGUCUAUCUCAGAGAUACAUUUACGGAUCAUGUUAUUAACACAAAUCUUGAAUAGAUAAGGCUCAUCCCAAUAAUACAUGCGACAAUCACGAAAGAACCUUUUCUUUUGGAUAGAGGAAAGGUCAUAAAGAACAAUACCUCUCGCCAGGUAGUUUGCAAUGUCAGCAUACCAUGGCGCUUCCUCAAGACUCGUGGCUAAUAAUUGUUCAUCCGGGAAAGUUUCCACAAUCUCCUCCACCUCAACCUUCUUCUCAGCUCCUUCCAGCCUAGACAAGUGAUCAACUACUUGAUUCUCCGUUCCCUUUCGGUCACGGAUUUCCAAGUCAAAUUCUUGCAGCAGUAGCACCCAUCGAAUCAUAUGUGGCUUUGACUGCUUCUUCUCGAUUAAGUACCUGAGAGCAGCAUGGUCAGUAUAAACAAUUACCUUCGAGGCUAUCACGUAUGACCUUAAUUUGUCAAAUGCGAACUCCACUACUAGCAUCUCAUUCUCGGUCACUGUGUAAUUUAGCUGGGCACAACUCAGAGUUCUACUUGCGUAGUAUAUUGGAUGUAUGACUUUGUCUUUUCGUUGCCCAAGAACUACUCCCACAGCAUAGUCACUCGCAUCACACAUCAGCUCAAAUGGUUGCUCAUAGUUAGGGGAAACUAUGAUAGGUGUUGUUACCAGUAUCUUCUUCAAUUCCUCAAAUGCUACCCUGCAGUCAUCAGCAAACACAAAAGGGUGAUCUUUUUCAAGCAAUUUACACAAGGGGUUAGCAAUUUUGGAAAAAUCUUUUAUAAAUCUCCUAUAUAAACCGGCAUGCCCAAGGAAACUUCUAAUUGCUUUGACAGAAGUGGGUAAUGGAAGCUUUUGAUCACAUCAACCUUUGCAUGAUCUACCUCAAUACCUUUACUUGACACUAGGUGCCCUAAGACUAUACCUUUCUGUCCUAUGAAAUGGCACUUUUCCUAGUUGAGUACCAGAUUCGGCUCGAUACAUCUCUUCAAUACUCUUCUCAAGUUCAUAAGGCAAUCAUCGAAUGAGUUCCCCACCACUGAGAAGUCAUCCAUGAAAACCUCCAUUAUUUCCCCUACCAUAUCCGUGAAGAUGGCCAUUAUACACCUUUGGAAUGUGGGGAGGUGCGUUGCAUAGGCCAAACGACAUUUUCCAAAAGGCAUAGAUUCCAUAAGGGCAGGUGAACGAUGUUUUCUCUCUGUCCUGUGGGGCAGUAGAGAUAUGAUUAUACCCCGAGUACCCAUCCAAAAAGCAGAAGUGGGACCUCCUUGCCAAUCUAUCUAGCAUAUGAUCAAUGAAUGGCUGUGGGAAAUGGUCUUUUCGGGUAGUCUAGUUCAACUUUUUGUAAUCCAUACAGAUUCGCCAAACUGGGACUGUUAGUGUUAAGAUCAAUUUGUUCUUCUCAUUUUUCACUACCGUCAUACUGCCCUUUUUUGGCACACACUAAACUGGGCUGACCUAGUUGCUGUCAGAUAUAGGAAAUAUGAUUCCUGCAUCUAACCACUUAAUCACUUCUUUCUUCACCACUUCUUUCAUGUUGGGGUUCAGCCUUCUAUGAUGUUCUAUAGAAGGUUUGUGACUAUUUUCAAGUAGAAUUUUAUGCAUACAAAAUGCCGGUCAGAUACCCUUAAUAUCUACAAUGGUCCAACCAAUUGCAGUCUUGCACUCUGUCAGUACCUGCAAAAGCUGUUCUACCUGCACAUCUAACAAACUAGAUGACAUAAUAACAAGUAAAUUUAAGUUAGGUCCUAAGAAAGCAUACCUGAGAUAAGGUGGCAGUUGCUUCAGUUCAAACUUUGGCGUCUCUUCUAUCGAUGGCUUAGCUGGAGGAGUUUUCCUUUCCUCUAAGUGCAAAGGUUCAAAUUUGAGCUCUCUUCUCCAAAAACCUUGGCCUUCAAGAUUAAGUACCCACUCCACCAAGUCCUCUCCAUUUGCUUCAUCUAAGUUCAUAAGAUAGGCUGCUAGAGGGUCUUUAGUGUUCAAUGUCUCAUUUUCCUCCUCCAAAAUUACAUCCACGACAUCUAUUAAAGAUCAAUUAGCAAAUUCACUUGGUCGCCGCAUAGAUUUUUGCACGUUGAAUGUUAUCUCUUCAUCAUUUAAUCUCAUUUUGAGAUCUCCAGUUUCACAACCAAUUAAAGCUCUCCCAGUGGCCAAGAAUGGUCUUCCCAAAAUUAUGGGAAUUUCCUCGUCAAACUGACAGUCAAGAAUGACAAAAUCUGCUGGGAACACUAACUUCCCAACCUGUACUAAUACAUCAUCAAGAAUUCCAGAGGGCUUCUUCACUGUCCGGUCAGCUAGCUGUAGUAACAUGGACGUGGGUCUAGCUCUUCCAAUGCCUAACCUUUUGUAGAUAGCUAGAGGCGUCAGGUUUAUGCUUGCCCCCAAAUCACAAAGUGCCUUAGCAAAUGCAUAGUUGCCUAUUGUGCAUUGAAUUGUGAAAGUCCCUGGGUCAGAUGGCUUCUCAGCUAUGGGUCUCGUCACAACAACAUUGCAAGUCUGAGUCAGUGUAACCGUGGCCAAGUCUUGAAAGUCGAACUUACGAGACAUCAAGUCCUUCAUCAUUUUUGCGUAACCAGGCAUCUCCGUUAAGACGUCGAACAAUGGAAUGUUUGUUGAUACCCAAUUUUUCCUCAUAUGUUUUUAAUACAUAUAUAUACUAUCAAAAUAACACAUAUGCAGUUAUAAGCAUGCAUAAGAAUUUUUUAUAAUUUUUCUAUAAUUUUAAAAGCUCCAAAUCAAUUUAUUUCUUCUCUUUUUUAUUUAUAAAAUAUCCAAUAAUUAUCCUUCAUAUCCUUUUGGGGUGAUUUAGCCAUUUAAAUUCAUUAUUUAUGACAACAUAGUGUUUAAAUAUUUUUAGUGCAUUUUCUAUAAUUGCAUUUACGUUUUUAGGCUAAAUUAUGCAUCUUUGCAAUAAUAGCCCAUAUUAAUGCAUAAUUAUAUUAUUGAUGCAUAAAAUGGACUUUUAUAUUUUUAAAAUAUUAAAUAACUAUUUUAAAUCAUUUUACUACAUGAAAUAUUUUUUGGAACUCAUUUAUUAUUUUUUAUGAAUUAUGUAGUUAUUAAAAGUGGCUAUUUAAAAUUUGGCCUAUUUUUAUUUCAAUUUUGGUCCUAAUUCAACCCAACACCAGCCCAAUUUCAAUUUAAACUUACCCAUCCCAAACCUUAAUACCCGAUUCGGCCCCAAACCAUAUUAAUCUCGGUCGUUGAUCAUAGAGAUCAACGACCACAAUCAGCCCCUUCCUUUUUUAGUCCCAAACGACCCCCCCAAACCCUUUCAUUUCCCACUAUCCGCCGCCCUGAAAUCCCUCUUCUCUCUCAAAUUCUCUCAAACCUAACCCUAAUCGGACCUCACCGUCACUCAUCUAUGGCUAUCUAUGGUGGUUCCUCACCACCCCCAGGCCUCUAAUAGCCUCUCUUGUACUAAUAUCACCAUCUUUAGGGUCCUCAAGGGACUAAGGUUAGUUUGCUUGCAUCUAUGGCCAUUUCUCGCCUGUUUUAAGCUGUCCUAGUUUGAUUCCAAGUGAGAUAUUCCUAUAUCUAUGGGUUUAUAGGUUUAAUUCUUCAUCUCUGUGAUUGUACUUCUCGAAACCCUAAUUUCUCUCUUCUGAACCUCUCAGAUCUGUAUAGAUCUGAGAUGGUUUAGACCUAUUUUAUAUGAGUUUUACAAGAGCCUUUUGGUUUUUACAAAAUCGUGUGAUUUUCGAAUGAUUUUUCAUUUUUCUAAACUAGGGUUUUCGGAAUUUUCAUUUCCAAAAUGUUUGAUGAUUUUUGAGUGUUUGAUCUUUUGCUUCUUAUGUGUUUUGACUAAUUUUGUAAGUUUUAUACAACCUUAACUCGUUUAUACUAAAAGCCCUAAUUUUUGACAUUCUUUGUUUGGUUUCUGAGUACUGGUGUAUUGACUGUGUUCUUGCCUUGGUUCUUGUGAUUUCUCUUUAGCCAUUUGAAUGUCUCGUGGUUUUCUUAUCCUAAUAUGUCUCUACUGAGUUUCUUAAUUCAACUCUUUUACUGAUUCUAUAUGUUUGUGUUCAUUCUGACUAUUCAUGUUAAGACCUAUAUCUUUCUCCUUAAAUCAGUGUCGUUUUCUUGAUUUACCAAUUUGUUUCGUGUCGAAUCCUGACUAUUCAUUUCUUACCUUAUUUUGUCUGCGAAACUUGCUGACUCUUUACGUGAUUUUCUCUUUGAUUGAACCGUUGAUUAUUCUGAAGUUCUUAUUUCCUGGUUUGAUUUGAACUCUUUUCCUUAACAAACCUUUUGAUUCUUACAUCUCUACUCGGUUUGAUUGAACUUCGUGCCUUAAUCAGUUUUCCCUUGCCUUAUUUAUUAUUUUGCUGAUUCUUACUGAUUGUUUCCUUAACUGAAACUAUUGUUCAUUCACCCCUAAUUACCUACUCUGUACUUAAGUCGUACUCGAUUUCCUUCCUUAAGCAUCUGUCCUGCAUUUACCAUUGAUUAAUUAUCCCUUGAUUAAAGGGAAGACUUACUGAUUUUACAUGUGAUUGAUUCCAUGAAUUUCUCUAAUUGCUACUUAAUUUAUCCCUUACCUUAUUUUGUUAAGCUUUUGAUUACUCUAUAAACUCCCUCUUAUUUUAACUUCUGGACAACGAACAUAGUUCAAAACUACUACUUUUACACCCUAAAAAGGCUCUCUUUCUGCUCUCUUUGCUACUUGUGAUCCCUGAUAUUCUAGCCGGCUGCAACCCAAGGCUGGAAACAACACAAUACCUUGCUCACAAUCUUGUGUUUUCUUUCUUUAACUAGGUAUGCCUAUGAUUAAUUUUUAAGAAUCAAAACCUAUGUGUUUACUUACUGCUUUAGUUCAUAUGGCCUGAGUUUAUUCUUGCUUUAGUCCACUCUGCUUGUUUGUUAUUUUGUUUGACAUGUCUGCAUAUGUAAUUUCCCUAUUUAACUGACUUCUAUUUAUAUAGCACGCUUAGACUCUGCCUUUGUGUAAUUAGCAUUCCCUCACCUGUCUUUGCAUGUUCUGCCUCACUCCUGCUAAGUUAAUUACUCUCCCUAGAAUGGCUUCAACAUGUUUCUAUUGUGAUCUUUGCUGCAUAACCUGCAUUCUACCUACUAGUUCUAUAGAACUCCCUCAAAACUCUAUGUAUCCUAUUGUCUGUAUGCUUCAUUAAGGUGUACUCUCUAUGUUCCCAAUCCCCCUUCCCUUUGUGUGAAAGCUGCUUGCCAAAGUUACUUCCUAAAGCUUGUUUAGUCUCUAUCUUGUGUUUCGAUUACAAAAUUGCUUCUUCAUACUUUCUCUCAAACUGGUUUAUCACUAAUGGUUUUCAGAAGUUCUUUUCAGUCCUAAAACCUUUCUGUUAAACUCUUUCAAACCACUAUGCACUUUCACUUACUCUUAGAAUACUAGGUCACGCCCCUCUAAUAUGUGUACUGCCUUGAGAUCCUUGAGAUCUCUCUAAACUCUGGCAUGUCAGGGCUGGCCUUUCCACACUGCACCUAAAUCAAUUAUUAUUUGAGAAAGGUCUAGGUGUGAGCACUGCCCGAGAUCCUUGAGGUCCUUAGAGAACUCUAACACACCUAGACAUGGAAUUGGCUUUGGAACUUUGGUAUUUGAGAUUACUGGAGGCUUGGAAGUCAUUUGUGGCCUACUUCAGGCUCCCUAUAGAUUAAUUUCUAUUUUAUUUAUGUAAUUUUUUCAUUCAAUUCAUUGGUAUGUAAUAAUUUUUGUAAACAAACAGUGGGGUGAUUAGUGAAAAAGGGAGGGUAGUUAUAUAUUAUGGGUAAAAUUGGGUAGAUACCAUGCCUAUAGGAUCUAUGUUGAUUCAAAUGUGUUUGAUAUGUUUGCUUUACUUCCACAUAGUUAGAAACCAUGCCUAUAGGGUCUAAACUGGCUUUAAUAAUAGAGAUCCUGCCUAUAGGGUUAAAAUCAACUCUAUAGAAAUCAUGCAUAUAGAGGUUUCACUUUGGUUAAAUGAAUGUUGUUUGUUUUACCCUGCUUGAUUAGAAAUCGUGCCCAUAAGACUUAAAACAGUUCAGUUAGAAAAGUCGGUGUAAUUCAUGUUUAUAUAUUCUGAAUUGGUUUAGUUAACUAGUCUUUCCGUUUCUUUAACAAGUCUUCAACGCUGCUUUAAGUAACAUUGCUAGAAAUCAUGCCUAUAGGAUCCAAAUUGCCGUUUAAAAUCAUUUUACUAUUUUACUGCAUUCCUAAUCAAUAUAGAUAUCAUUAUCAUAGGACAUCACUGUUAUGCGCCUAAGCAAGCCUGUAGGGCGGUUAAAAUUCUGCAAACUAUAAAUCUGCACCUUGUUAUUUGAGAUUGCCCACACUCAAUAGGUUUAAAAGGAUCAGUAGGCAAGUAAGAUUAAGCUCUUUGACACUUUGGUCCUAAUUCCAUACUACAUAAUCUCCGCUCACCUAGAUAUCAUGUUCUAAGAUUUUCUCUUAAAUACUUGAAACUGUUGUUUGAGACGUGCACUUACUUGUUAUGUUUGUGGAGGUGAAUGCGAGCCUUUAAUUGUUCUCUUUAAAUGCAGUCCUAAUUGUUUUUGAUUGACGCCUAGACUUUUAUCCUUUAAAAAACCUUAGGAUGGUCUAGAACUACCUAAAUUAGAGGUCCUAAAUACCUCCAGGGCCACGAGAAAGGGACGAGUAGUGCACACAUAGGAUANNNNNNNNNNNNNNNNNNNNNNNNNNNNNNNNNNNNNNNNNNNNNNNNNNNNNNNNNNNNNNNNNNNNNNNNNNNNNNNNNNNNNNNNNNNNNNNNNNNNNNNNNNNNNNNNNNNNNNNNNNNNNNNNNNNNNNNNNNNNNNNNNNNNNNNNNNNNNNNNNNNNNNNNNNNNNNNNNNNNNNNNNNNNNNNNNNNNNNNNNNNNNNNNNNNNNNNNNNNNNNNNNNNNNNNNNNNNNNNNNNNNNNNNNNNNNNNNNNNNNNNNNNNNNNNNNNNNNNNNNNNNNNNNNNNNNNNNNNNNNNNNNNNNNNNNNNNNNNNNNNNNNNNNNNNNNNNNNNNNNNNNNNNNNNNNNNNNNNNNNNNNNNNNNNNNNNNNNNNNNNNNNNNNNNNNNNNNNNNNNNNNNNNNNNNNNNNNNNNNNNNNNNNNNNNNNNNNNNNNNNNNNNNNNNNNNNNNNNNNNNNNNNNNNNNNNNNNNNNNNNNNNNNNNNNNNNNNNNNNNNNNNNNNNNNNNNNNNNNNNNNNNNNNNNNNNNNNNNNNNNNNNNNNNNNNNNNNNNNNNNNNNNNNNNNNNNNNNNNNNNNNNNNNNNNNNNNNNNNNNNNNNNNNNNNNNNNNNNNNNNNNNNNNNNNNNNNNNNNNNNNNNNNNNNNNNNNNNNNNNNNNNNNNNNNNNNNNNNNNNNNNNNNNNNNNNNNNNNNNNNNNNNNNNNNNNNNNNNNNNNNNNNNNNNNNNNNNNNNNNNNNNNNNNNNNNNNNNNNNNNNNNNNNNNNNNNNNNNNNNNNNNNNNNNNNNNNNNNNNNNNNNNNNNGAGUGUUUGCGCUCUUCCUAUAUAUCACCCUUUAAAUUCGGAAAGGCGUAUUUGCGGUAAAACUAGCCGAUCAGCGGUGCAUUCGACGGUUCCGUGACUUUUACCCUCAAGUUGUCCACUUGAGGGUCCCAGACUAGACCUAUAUAACAACCUUACUCUAAUUAAAUUGUACAUGCAUCAUGGUCAAACCUUGUCAGGUUAAUAUGUUGUCCACAUAAUAACCCUUUAAGACAAGCCCCGUCCAAAAGUUCAUCGGAUUUAUCAUAAUCCCAACGGACGUAACCACGAUUAUGUGCAUUAAUUUGGAGAAAUAAGUGCCAAUAUGCUAAUUAUUAUUGUACAAAUAGACGAAUCUGGAGGGGAAAUGGCCUAACUCUCUUUGUUUUACAGAAAAUGAGGCACGAGGUCCCCAGAUUCGAUAUGGUUAGCACACCCUCACUCUUGCUAGAUUAGUGGAGGGAUCUUCCUUCAUGUGACCAAAACCAUGUGAAAUGAGUCUUAGGAAACUUGCCUUCUUUGAUGGAACUUCAGCUCAACAAAAUGUUGAUCGAGGCUGCAACUAUGUUUUGGGACAAGGAAAGGGCUGUGUUCCAUUUUGGGAACAUAGAAAUGACACCCCUUCUAGAAGAAAUAGGAGGAUUUGCCGGGUUACCUUGGGAUAGUCCUAAUCUGUUGGCACCUGAAAAUCGCACUAUUAGGGGAUUUCUGAAAAUGGUGGGGCUGAAGAAGAAUGACAAUUUUGAAAUGCCUAAAGGACUCCUACAUACCUUUUGAGUUCCUUUAUGAAAGAUACGGUCACAACAGCUCUUACCGUCUUUUUGACGAUGAGUUCUCAAUCACUUCUUUAGGUUGGAUUCAUCGUAAGGUCUUCGUGUUUAUCAUGUGUUUCUUGGGCAUGUUGAUAUUCCCAAUCCAAGGGGAUAGGAUCCAUACUAGGUUAGCCAUGGUGACCAAAACUCUGAUGGACGGGAUCGAAGGGGAGACAUAUACUAUCAUUCCUAUGAUCGUUGCAGACAUGUACUGGGUGGAGCGAUGUCAGAAGGGGUUUAGGUUCUUCGAGGGUUGGAAGUUGCUGCUACAAGUCUGGUUGUUAGAACAUCUCCAAAAGGGACAAUACCAUCAAGAAUUAUUGCAAAGGUCGUGGAAUGAUCAUAUAGCCUUCCAUCAUCCCAAAAGAAUGAAUUAUAUUCUAGACAUGUUUGUUCAGCCAGAGGACGCUGCAGGAUGGGUACAACUUUUUGUAAAUUUGACUGAGGAUCAAGUCCAGUGGAUGUUCGAGUGGUUACCUACCGAUGAAUUCAUCAUUAGAUCCAGGGAUUUUCUGCACUUGGUGUUGAUCGGGUUGAUGGGCAUAUACCCUUACGCUCCUCUUAGGGUUAUGAGACAAGUAGUCAGGAGACAAAUCAUACAACGAGUCGCCAAGAUAUGUCACUUCAGAGCUAAUUUCCAGGGUGACGCCAUCCCGUAUAAGAAUGAAGCGCAACACAUGUGGACCUUGAAGAUCAUUGUGGAGAAGGAUACUAUUGAGCCAGACCGAUAUCACGCAGGCCACUCAUACCUUUACCCUUCGUGGCUGGAGGACAACAUAAUCGGGGUCGUUAAGCCAAGGGCUGGGGACAGAAAAUAGGGUUAUAGACGAGGUUGCUGAAGUAGAGAUGAAGUACAACAAGCUGCGGAAAGGAGUUCGAGAGUCUGAAGCCGAGCAUAUGGCACAGCAUAAGGCUGACAUGGAGAUGAUUAACGAAUGGAAAGAGGGAGUUGUUAAAUCCAGUGAGAGGAUGGAAUAUCUGGAGUACAGUCUAAUGAAGUUAGAAGGGAAGAUGAGAAAAAGGGUCACCGAUUGUCAGAACGCCGAAGGAAAUGAAGGAGGGCACCUGGCAAAGGCAUUCCUGCUGCUGAACCUGCGGGAGAUGGGAGAAUUGAUCGAUAAGAGCAUCCAGUCUGGAGAGGGUCCUUCUGGGACCAAGUAGAUUAUAUUUAUUUGCUUUCCUUUCAAAUUUAAUAAGUCCAAGAGCCAUUAGUGACAUUAUCUUAUUUAGUUUCGUUUUGGUUCGUUUACUUUUACUUUAAUGAAAUAAGCAAUUAUUGGCACUAAAUUUCUCCAAAUUUAUUUGUCACUAUGCCUACCUCGGGCACAACGAGGCUCCCAGUGAGCACGUGAUUUUUUCCCUAUAUGAAUUACUCCCAUAAUCUCAAAACAAAAUAAUUUCUUUUCAUUAUUUCCAAUUUUAUGGAUUUUUGCGGCAUUUUAUGUUAAAUGUUUGCAUUCGUCUGUGCAUAUUUAUUUUAUUUAAUUAAUGAAAAAUACAAAAAAAAAAAUAUGUUGCAUUUGUAUUUAGCAUUUAAUUUUACAUUUUAGGAUUAAUUGAAAAAUUAGUUGUUUUAUAAAAACGGAAAAAUCACAAAAAAAAAUAGUUUAUUUUGCACUUUUAAUUUUAAUUUUGAAUUUUGGUAGUUUUUCCUUUAAGUUGGUUUUUUUUAAUUAUUUGUGGUAAGUAUUAUUUAGAGUUAAUUAAUGUAAUAGGAUAAUUUGAUUAGUGAUUAAUGUAGGUUUAUUUUUAAUUUUAAUUCAAAAGAAACUAAAAGAAAAUUGAAAAAGAAAAGAAAACAAAAGAAGGGGAAAAUUUGGACUUAGAGCCGAUUUGGGCCUCAGAUUUGCUGAGCCCAAACCUUUCUUCUUCUUUUAAAAAUUUUCGCCAGCCCAGUUUCUUCACUCAGUCCGGAACCGCGCCCCAACCCACACCCGCCCGUCUUCCGAAACCCGACCCGUUCCCAAACGCUAACAAACAAAAGAGCCCCAGAACCCUAAUCUCCAAGACCCAUCAGCGCAACCACUGUUCUUCUUCUCCAAACAACCAAAUCCAAGCCCCAAAUUUAGUCCAAAUUCGGGCGAGUGAAUCCCAAAUCCUUAACCUACGCGUCACUCCUUCUCUCAUCUUGCCGUUGCUAACGGUUUCUGAUGCGAGAUUCCCCUCCUCUCUCACUCGCUCGAAUUCAUGUUGUAUCAUACGAUUGGAAGGUUCUAGAGACGAGAUGUUGGAUGAGUGUGAGGCGUUGUAUUGAUUUCACUCAAUCCGAUCCCCACAUUCAUCAAGGAUUCGUCUUUAAAAGAAGCCUUAUCCGAUUUUGUGAAGGGGGGAAUUUUUCGAGAGUUCUUGAGUUUUUGGGGUGAGAUUGCCCGAGAUUUUUCUUUUCAACCCUCUUCAGAAAAAGAAAAGAAUAUAUAUAUAUAUAUAUAUAUAUAUAUAUAUAUAUAUAUAUAUAUNNNNNNNNNNNNNNNNNNNNNNNNNNNNNNNNNNNNNNNNNNNNNNNNNNNNNNNNNNNNNNNNNNNNNNNNNNNNNNNNNNNNNNNNNNNNNNNNNNNNNNNNNNNNNNNNNNNNNNNNNNNNNNNNNNNNNNNNNNNNNNNNNNNNNNNNNNNNNNNNNNNNNNNNNNNNNNNNNNNNNNNNNNNNNNNNNNNNNNNNNNNNNNNNNNNNNNNNNNNNNNNNNNNNNNNNNNNNNNNNNNNNNNNNNNNNNNNNNNNUUUUUGGUCCUCAAUAAUGGAGUUUGAUUAAAGUUUGAGUCGGAAUUUGUGUUUAAGUUCUAAAUCUCGGUACCAUUUCACAUUUCUGUCUGAGCUUUUGAUCUCUACUCGCUUCUGUUGCUAAUUGCUGGUGUUAGCUAUUGGAUUUCACUUGUAUUCAACGUUCGAGCAAAGUUAAUCGGAAGUGUUUAUUGAUUCUAGGUUCAUUUCUUCUUCAUUUUUAUUUGUUUUUUCGUGAUUCUGCAUCGUGUGCUCAUGUUCUGUUAUGUUUUUAGUCUAAGACUACCUGAAAGUCAGUGUUUGUUGUCCAGAUUAAAGGCUGAGUUCUGUUGGACUUGAUUCAGGUCUGUUUCUGUUUUUGUGUUUAUUCUAUAUUGAAAGAGUGAUUGUAUGCACUGAUAUAAUGGCUGCAGUUGUAUAAAUUCACCCACUCGUUUGUCAAAUUUGAGCAUCGAAACAAAUUCAUGAAACCUUAAGGGUGGAAGCCUUUUUGUUUGAUCAUUUCUGCUGGUUUAGCUGCAGUUUGAGUGCUAAGUGAUUGUUGGGCUUGGUUCACUUGUGAAUUAGUGGAUUGACACGCAUUUAACUUCAUCUAUAAGGCCACAGAGAUUAAUGUUCACGUUUCCAGCAGUCAUUUCUGUCCUUAGGCUUCUUGAACAGAAUCAGACAUGAAAAUUGUGAAGUAUUAUGGCUGCCUAGUAGCCAUCAAAGUUGGUAUAUGUAGGAAUGAGUUUUGGAAAAGAAUUCUUGUUUGUGUGUGGAGUUUAAACUUGCAAUAAGCCAUGAGACUCCUUCUAAUCACUGUCCAUUUGAUGGUCAAUUAGUUCGGCAGCUUAGGGAUAUUCAUUAAACUUCAAUUUGUUUGGUUUUCACUUGUAUGGUUGGGGUGUAAUUAGCUGCAUAUCAUCUGAGCAAGUCGUCAAUAAGCGGCGUGUUCAUGUGUUCGUAUCUUAAGUAUUCUGGACUGUAUCUGUUGGUUUUUGUUCGAAUUCGAUCAUUGUUGGCUACGCAAUCUCGUCUGUUGUAGAUGCUGGAGUAUUUUGGCCUCUGAAAUCUCUUGAGCCAGGUAGUUUGAGCUAUGAGGGGCACUAUGUGGUCAUUAUUUUGCUGAUUUUGUGUAACUAGGCCUGCCAGUUCUUCUUCACCUCUAUUUGGUCAACUUCUUGUUUGUUUCGCUGUUGUUCGAAAUGUGUUUGCAGUUUAAAUGACUAAUGUAGGAGAUUUACUGCUAUGAAAUCUGCAUAUACGCAUUCAUUUCAAUACUCUGCCAAAGGAAUUGUGAACCAUUAUCGUGCUUUCUCUGAGUUUGUUGCGAGUUUUGUAACUCCUUUGCUAGUGUAAGUUCACAGCCAGUGUUAAGAACCUUGUGUGCUAUUUUAUGUCAUCUAUUAGAGUUAUCCGUUGGUUUAAUUAGGAUAAAAAUCAGUCCAAGUUCGUGAUAGUUUCAGCUCGACUGAAUUUUUUGUUUAGUUGAAUUUAUUCAAUUGCCGUUUUAUUUCUUUCCGAUAAAUUUUGUUCCUGAAACACAUUAACAUCAUCGAUGAGGUUGUAAUUUGAUUCGAUCUUCAGAAUUUUUUUUUCUCUUUGAUGAAUGAUUCAACCUGGGUUUGCUACACAUGAACUGAAGUCUUGAACAAUUCGUUUCAUUUAUCUGUGUCGGAAGAACUCUUUUUGCUUCUGUAAGCUUCACCAUUGCAGCUGGAAGAAAUCGAUAAAGCUUAACAUCUUGAUUUUAACCGCUAGUUAGUUUGGUUUUUGUCGCUGUGAUUCUGUGAUAAACUCAGCAUGUUAGCGGCUAAAUGUAAAUAUCACUGUUUGGUAUUAUCUGUUUAGUUAAGUGAUAUCCUUUACUCAAUUGUGAUUAUCGAGUGCCUAGUUCCGCAUCCUCACUAAGAGUGAAUAGCAUAAGUUAAACAUGUAUCAAUUGCAUAAGUCUGUUCGAUCAAUUCCUGAUGCAUUGGUUUGGAUUUUCAUUAGUUCAUGUAGUCUAAAUCCAAGGCUCUUGACCUUCCCAGAUAAUUCUUAGAAUUCGAGGUUUGCCAUUUAGGAAAAUUCCAUGGCCCUCACAAAGUUGCAAACGCGUAGUUGCUUUAGGCGAGUUGUUUUAAUAAUUUACCUUCCUAAACUCGGGUGCGUAUUUAUGUGACCCAAAUCCAAGUCUCAACGAUGUUAAAAUAUGUCAAAAACCAUGGGUGCAUUUAUGUGACGUGGUUCGAAACGUAUUUUAAUAACGUUGCAAUUUUCCUUAAAAAUAACUAAAAGCGGCUAAUAAAGUUAAAAUUGCACCAUAGGUUAAGACAUGUACUAAAAUCAGAUAAUAGACCAAUUAUAAUAGUUGAGCGACCGUGCUAGAACCACAGAACUUGAGAAUGCCUAAUACCUUCUCCCAGGUUAACAAAAUUCCUUACCCGGAUUUCUGGUUCGCGGACUGUUACAUAGAGUCAAUCUUUUCCUCGAUUCGGGAUUGGAACCGGUGACUUGGGACACCAUAAAUCUCCCAAGCGGCGACUCUGAAUCUUUAUAAUAAAUCCCGUUUCGAUUGUCCUUUAAUUGGAAAAAUUCCCUUUAUUUAUACCCUUUACGGGGUGUAGGUAAAAAGGAGGUGUGAUAGCUCUGGCGACUCUGCUGGGGAUCGAACCUAGAAUCUCUGGUUCAAGGUUCAGAAUUCGAGCUUAGAUGAAUUAUUAUAUUUGGCUUUAUUUAUUAUCUGAUUUUAUUACAUGUUUGGGCCUAAUGUGCCAAAUGUUGCUUUUAUCGCUUUGAUAUUAUCUGAACUGUAUAUAAACUGCUACGAAACCCCUCUCUUCUCUCUUCCGAGGAGUGCACGCUGGUCGUGACUUCUUUCUGUUAGUGUCAAAUCCCAAAUAGAAUGAGGCUCAGACAAGUUGCAAAACCGGAUGAUCCUUUGGUUGCCGAUACGCAGUCCCCUCCUCGGCUCGAGUUGUCCGCUCGGGUAAGCCAGGUCUAGAACAAAUAAACCCAGGGUUUUAAACCUAGUAUAACAAUACCUCAUGCCGGAUCCCUAGUAGGAACAUUUGUUUGCAGCAUGUGCAUAUUUGACUUUGGAGACUCAACACAGGGGUUGGCUCUAUCUAGGAC